rnacentral:lncRNA from 1 species
GUGUUUGCGUGCGUGUUGAGAAGAGUAGAGGAGCCACCUGGACUCCGGCGGAAGACUUCGGGAUCCCAGGACAGAUUUGGCUGAAGAGCUAAGGGAGUUCUGCAGCAGUUCACUUGGUGGGAAAAUCAGAUGUCCUGCUCUUGGCUUGGUACCAAACGUUUGCAUUACUAAGAAACAUGAAAGAAUACAGGAAGUCCUGCAUGACCUUAUGAAUACCUGUGCUAAUUAAGUCACUGGCUUGGUACUGGGAGAACAGCAAGAUAAUAACACAGAGUUUUGUCUGGGAAAUACAAAUCUGAGAAUGGAGUGGAAAGGGAAAUGCUCCAAAUUUCAGGUAACAAAAAUUGCCUUUUUAAUGUUAUGUCCUCCCAUUGUAAAGUUUGAUUUUUUUUUUUUUUU